GCCCUUUUAGCUCAGGGGUAGAGCGUCUCACUCGUAAUGAGAAGGUCGCUAGUUCGAAUCUGGUAGGGGGCA
rnacentral:tRNA from 1 species